AGAAAAAGGGUAGUUAGAAUAAAAUAAAGUGGCCCAUCAAGUAUUCAGCCCAAGUUUAUUACCACAGUGGACUCGGGUUAUAAUUACCAACAGAGGAGAGAAUAACUAUAAGUUAUUUUGAUGUAAAAAGCAUAUUAUCCUAAGCCAACAUAAUAACACAGUUUUUAUGAAGCACAAUAAUUACUUUGAAGACUCACAGAAGUGCAUUUUUCUAAAAGAAGGAGAUUCUCAUACAGAAACAGAUUAACAGAAACAGAAACAGCAACACUAGAGAACAGCAAAAUAGUAACAUUUCAAAUAGUAACAUUUCAAGAAAAUAUAUACACCUUCACAGUAUGUGGUGGUAUCCACUUACUGUCUACUGCCUCCAUAACUCCUAAAGUCUUCUGAAGAUUUAUUAAUGCUUUGAAUAUAUGAGCCACCGUUUCUUUUCACAGCCUUUUCACAACUGGGAAUUCUUUAGAGAAAGGCAAUCUUACCUCAUUUACUUACUUCAUCAGUAAUGCCAUUACUAUGCCUACCUAAGAAGAAAAUAUAUCAUGUGGCAGAGGACUAGAAAGAAAAAACAACAACAAAAGGCUGUGAAGAUUUGAUCAUAUGCCUACGUGUGUGGUGAAUACAAUAUUUCUUUAAUCGCAAUCAGGAAUAUAAAUCUUAUUUUGAUGCUAUGACAUAAUAAAGUGCAUUAUUUUCCUGAAAUU
rnacentral:lncRNA from 1 species